AUUUUAGUAAACCUGUCAAGGACCGUGAGGAUAACUGUAUGCCUAUUGGAAGCUGGUAGAUCAACAAUAAAAUCCAUAGCCAAACAAGCCCAAGGUUUAUUGGGAACGACUAAGGGCUGCAAUAAACCACAAGGGAGAUCCCGCGGAAGUUUAUUCCUGACACAAACAUUGCAAGCCUUGACAAAGUCUUCCACAUCCCUACGUAAACCGGGC